UACAGAGGGUGCAAGCGUUGUUCGGAGUUAUUGGGCGUAAAGCGCGUGUAGGCGGCUUUGCAAGUCGGGUGUGAAAGCCCUCAGCUUAACUGAGGAAGUGCGCCCGAAACUGCAGAGCUUGAGUACCGGAGAGGGUGGCGGAAUUCCCCAAGUAGAGGUGAAAUUCGUAGAUAUGGGGAGGAACACCGGUGGCGAAGGCGGCCACCUGGACGGAUACUGACGCUGAGACGCGAAAGCGUGGGUAGCAAACAGG
rnacentral:rRNA from 1 species